rnacentral:sRNA from 1 species
GUUUUGAUUGCGAACAGCUGACAGUAAAGUGUCCACAUUUUCAUAUGAAACAUGGCUUGCAAAACUUCGAUAGUGGAAAAUGCAUCUCAACUUUCCUUUGGGAGAUUAUAAAGCCCAAAACAGACUCUUGUUCCCACAUGGCGACUACAUGGCUUUUACUUGUUCAUUCUUGUGGAUUCAGCUCAUGAGGUUACCCGUUCAACUUUACCCACAUGCAUGAUUCCUUGUGUUUUACAGACUUUUUACCGGUAAUUCAAAUUCAAUACGAUAAAGCGUGAACAAUAAUGGAACUUUAAGAUAGCAUCAUGCUUGUUGUGUUUGAAAAGAAAUUAUGACAAACAAGAUUAAGGCUGUUUAAAGAAAUUUACAAUUUGUAUUUGUUAGUUGUGAAAAUUGGUUUUUCAAUAAAAGUAUGCAAUUAUG